rnacentral:rRNA from 1 species
UACAGAGGGUGCAAGCGUUAAUCGGAAUUACUGGGCGUAAAGCGCACGUAGGCGGCGUGAUAAGUUGGAUGUGAAAUCCCCGGGCUUAACUUGGGAAUUGCGUUCAAGACUGUCACGCUGGAGUAUGGGAGAGAGAAGUGGAAUUCCAGGUGUAGCGGUGAAAUGCGUAGAUAUCUGGAGGAACAUCAGUGGCGAAGGCGGCUUCUUGGCCCAAUACUGACGCUGAGGUGCGAAAGCGUGGGGAUCAAACAGG